GGUUCGAUUAUGGCCUUAGAUUGAACGCUGGCGGGAUGCUUUAAGCACAUGCAAGUCGUGGAAUGCGCAGCACGACUUCGGUCUGGUGGGCGAGUGGCGAACGGGUGAGUAAUGUAUCGGAACGUACCUAGUAGCGGGGGAUAACUACGCGAAAGCGUAGCUAAUACCGCAUACGCCCCUUCGGGGAAAGCGGGGGACCUUCGGGCCUCACUAUUAGAGCGGCCGACAUCGGAUUAGCCAGUUGGUGGGGUAACGGCUCACCAAGGCGACGAUCCUGUAGCUGGUUUGAGAGGACGACCAGCCACACUGGGACUGAGACACGGCCCAGACCCUACGGGAGGUAGCAGUGGGGAAUUUUGACAAUGGGGGAAACCCUGAUCCAGCUACUCCCGGUGUGCGAUGAAGGCCUUCGGGUUGUGAAGCACUUUUGGCAGGAAAGAAACGGCACGGAUAACACCCCGUGCAACUGACGGCACCUGCAGAAUAAGCACCGGCUAACCACGUGCCAGCAGCCGCGGUAGCAUGUAGGGGUGCAAGCGUUAAUCGGAAUUACUGGCGUAAAGCGUGCGCAGGCGGUUCGGAAAGAAAGAUGGAAAUCCCAGGAGCUUAAUCUCUUCAGAACCGCAUUUUUGUCUACUUUCGGAGCUAGAGUGUGUCAGAGGGAGGUGGAAUUCGCGUGUAGGCAGUGAAAUGCGAUAUGGGAGGAACACUGAUGGCGAAGGCAGCCUCCCUGGGAUACCACCGACGCUCAUGCACGAAAGCGUGGGGAGCAAAACAGAUUAGAUACCCUGGUAGUCCACGCCCUAAACGAUGUCAACUAGCUGUUGGGGUUUUCGGGCUUUGAAGUGCACGUUAACGCGUGGGGUUGACCGCCUGGGGAGUACGGUCGCAAGAUUAAACUCAAAGGAAUUGACGGGGACCGCACAAGCGAUGAGACGACUCGAUGCAACGAAACCUUACCUACCCUUGAUAUGUCUGGAAUCCCGAAGAGAUUUAGAGGUUUCGUGCAACUGAACACAGGUUAUGGGGCGGUUGUCGUCAGCUCGUGUCGUGGAGAUGUUGCUGAGUCCUUGGCAACGAGCGCAACCCCUUAUUAGCUAGUUGCCGCGAAAGGGCACCUAAUGAGACUGUUGCGACAAACCGAGGAAGGUGGGGAUGACGUCAAGUCCUCAUGGCCCUUAUGGGUAGGGCUUCACACGUCACACAAUGGUCGGGACAGAGGGUCGCCAACCCGCGAGGGGAGGCCAAUCCCAGAAACCCGAUCGGGUAGUCCGGAUCGCAGUCUGCAACUCGACUGCGAAGUCGGAAUCGCUAGUAAUCGCGGAUCAGCAGCGUCGCGUGUGAAUACGUUCCCGGUCUUGCAUACACCGCCCGUCACACCAUGGGAGUGGGUUCUACCAGAAGUAGUUAGCCUAACUGUAAGGAGGGCGAUUACCACGGUAGGAUUCAUGACUGGGUGAAGUCAAACACAG
rnacentral:rRNA from 1 species